UAGCAAUGAAGAUAAAAAAUAUUUGCUGAUCACCUUGAUGUGUGAAAUACGCUAUUCCGAGCUACCA